GAUUGAAGCUUGCUUCAAUUGCCGGCGACCGGCGCACGGGUGCGUAACGCGUAUGUAACCUACCUAUAACAGGGGCAUAACACUGAGAAAUUGGUACUAAUUCCCCAUAAUAUUCGGAGAGGCAUCUCUCCGGGUUUGAAAACUCCGGUGGUUAUAGAUGGACAUGCGUUGUAUUAGCUAGUUGGUGAGGUAACGGCUCACCAAGGCAACGAUACAUAGGGGGACUGAGAGGUUAACCCCCCACACUGGUACUGAGACACGGACCAGACUCCUACGGGAGGCAGCAGUGAGGAAUAUUGGUCAAUGGACGCAAGUCUGAACCAGCCAUGCCGCGUGCAGGAAGACGGCUCUAUGAGUUGUAAACUGCUUUUGUACGAGGGUAAACUCACCUACGUGUAGGUGACUGAAAGUAUCGUACGAAUAAGGAUCGGCUAACUCCGUGCCAGCAGCCGCGGUAAUACGGAGGAUUCAAGCGUUAUCCGGAUUUAUUGGGUUUAAAGGGUGCGUAGGCGUUUGAUAAGUUAGAGGUGAAAUCCCGGGGCUUAACUCCGGAACUGCCUCUAAUACUGUUAGACUAGAGAGUAGUUGCGGUAGGCGGAAUGUAUGGUGUAGCGGUGAAAUGCUUAGAGAUCAUACAGAACACCGAUUGCGAA
rnacentral:rRNA from 1 species